AUGGAAGAUGUGGCGGCGCCUCAGUCGGAGCCGACGGCCAGGGACUGGUCGCUGCUUCCCAUGGACGCCCUCGCCUCGAUCUUCGUCAGGCUCGGCGCCGUCGAGGUCCUCAUGGGCGCCGGCCUCGUGUGCCACUCAUGGCUCGAGGCGGCCAAGUUGCCAGACGUGUGGCGAACCGUGGUCUUUGAGAACCACAAGGUCUUGUACCAGAAGGAUGAAACUGUCGUCCGCGCGACGGCGAAGGCGGCCGUCGACCGUUCCGACGGACAGCUUCGGGUGUUCGCCGGGACGCGGUUUGUCAACGACGAGCUCAUGGAGUACAUCUUGGAAAGGUCGCCUUCACUGACAACCCUGCGGCUUGAAUUCUGUGGCUACGUCUUUACCAAACGACUCGUCAAUGCGAUAAGAGAGUCACCUCUGCUGCAGCUGCGUAAUCUGGAACUCGACGGCGCUUACAUAACCGUGGGUGAGCUGACGGACAUCCUUGAGAGCUGCCCUAUCCUGGAGGUUCUUCUGCUACGCCAUUGCCCCAUGAUCUACGACGACGAUGAGCCUGUCGAGACCAUGACGAUUGAUCGUGAUGACGAGAUGCUCUGGUUGUACUUUUCUGAUUGCGAGUACGACUAA
rnacentral:rRNA from 1 species